UUUUUUUUUUUUUUUUCCUUUUUCUCUGAAUUUGUUUUUCUGUUCUUACCCUUUUCCCCCUAGAGACAAGAGUUUCUGUGUGUGGCCCUAGCUGUCCUAGAAACUCACUCUGAAGACCAGGAUAGCCUGGAACUCAAGAGAUCCACCUGCCUCUGCCUCCCAAGUGCUGGGAUUAACUCUGAGUGCUGAGAUUGAAGGCAUGCACCGCUGCUGCUGCCACCCCACCAUUUUUUUGUUUCUGUUUUUAAAAAAUACAGCUUUGUUAUGUAGCCCAGGCUAGGCCUGAUCUCAUGUUCAUCUUCCUGCCUUGCACACCAAGUAUUAGGAUAACAGUAUAAAGCACCACCAAUUCCUGAACUCCUCAUGUGCUCCAAGGUGACAGCUGUACCUUUCACCACCAAAGGGAUUUAAGAAAUGGUUCCCAAAAUCAAAUUCACCAGACCACUCAGUAGAGCAGGCGCACUUCACAUUCUGUAAACUGAACCUUUACCUCCAUGUGUCAGAUGAACUCACUUCUCUUGUUAGUCGGGCACAAUGUUAAUUCCAAGGCUGUGGCAUUAGCUAAUGCCAAAGCUCCUUCAAGGAACUGAUAGAGCACAGGGUAUAGUGGCCACCAUGCAUGAGGUAUACCCUAUAUUCAAUCCCCAACACUAGGAAGUAAAAGUGUGCCAGGCUUACUGGUAUUCACUGAUAAUCUGACUGACCAUUUGGGAUGCUGAGACAGGACUGUGAGUUGGAAGCCAACCUCAGCUACAUAGCAGGUACCAGGCCCAACUGAGCUACAGUAUGGCCCUGUUGCAACAGCAAGUGGGCAGAGGGCAGGCUGGGGAUGUAGUUAAGUUGGUUAGUUAGCUGCCUAGCACGUGAAGCUCUGGGUUUGGUCCCAAGCACUACAAGGUAGCAUAGGCACCUAGGAGGUGGUUGCAGAAAGACCAGAACUCAAGAUUACCCUCCACUGUGUAAGUACCAGGUUAGCCUGGGAUACACCAGACCCUGCCUUGAAGAGGGCACGUUUACUACCCAGUCUGAUGACCUGAGUUUGAUUGCUGUGAUCCGUACGGCAGAAGGAGAGAUCUUACUCCUGCAUAUUUCCUCUGACCUCCACAUGUGUGCCAUGGUGGACACAAUAAGAAAAAGUUAUAGGGCUGGAGAGAUGGCUCAGUGAUUAAGAGCAUUGACUGCUCUUCCAGAGGUCCUGAGUUCAAAUCCCAGCAACCACAUGGUGGAUCACAACCAUCUGUAAUGGGAUCUGAUAAACUCUUCUGGCGUGUCUGAAGACAGCUACAGUGUACACAUAUACAUUAAAUAAAUGUUUAAAAAUGAAACUAUUUUAAAAAGAGGUGGGAGGUGCACGACUUGCCAGAUGAAGGACACACUGCCAUGACUUAAUGUCCCUUCAUCAGUUUUCAUUCUAGCUGCACAUCAGGUUAUUCUCUUGGCCACCAUGGUGAACAGGAUCUCUCUAGGCACCUAGGCCAAGUGUUGAUAAGGCUAAGCUCCCAUGCACAGUCACUGUGCAAAGCAGAUAUCAGAACAGCAUUGAGAAAUACAAGCAAGGAUGGGUCACCAGCUCCUUUCCUACCUGGGUACAAACACUCCGAGGCCUAGUGGGUUUUACUACCUAGAAAAGUAGACCAAUCUGUCAUAGACAAAGGGGCUUACCUUCAGUUUCUUGCAAGCCAAGGCUGCUGCCUUAUUCUCAGCCUCAGCUUUGCGUCGCCCUUUGGCAACAAAGGUCAUGGGACAGGGCCAGAGCAGAGUGAGUGUAGCCAGCUUGGUCUUGGUACCCACAGUAUGGAACUGCAUGAGAUUCUACAUGGAAGAUAAGUAGGAAGUUACAAAAGGCAAGGGAUGAAAAGAGAUGGUUAGGUAAUCUAAGCACUUCAAGGAACCCAGAAAUGUACUUAAGCAUGAUCUCUACAGCAACAAAGAGCCACAGACUGGGCACAAGCACACAUGGGUCUGUACUGCGACUUCCCCUUUGUUCUUCUGCGUUAUCUCCUUCACCCAAUGACCCUGUGUGACCCUAGUUCUGAGCUUGCUUCUCAAUCUCUGUAGUAGUAGAAGGGGUUCAUGCAAUGCUACUACCUGUCUUCUUAACCCUCAUCCAAUUAGCACUUUCAGAGAAGUCUGGGAUUGAAGCUAUUAACAGUCAAAUCCCAGGCAUGUCCUGACAGAGUAAAGGCUUUAUACCUCUUCAUCAGUCCUCCUGAGAGCCCUGCUGUGGUAUCAGUGAUGUCACUUAUAGUGCAGGAUUCAGGCACCCACUCCUACUCUCUCAUACUUCCUAACCCACCACUGGCUCCCAGAGCAGGGUCUCCAAUCAGCAGUGCCCAGCCUACACCUGGUGUGGCUUGUUUUCACGUCUGCUCUGGGCCUGCUGCCUUAUCCUUUCUGUCCAUCAGGGAUCCUAUAUCCUUCUAGGUGGCCUAGGUUGGAGCUGAGACAGAUACCCUCUGCCCUGCCCCACAACAAGGCCUCUGUCCUGCUUAGCCUUGAGAGCGAUGGGCACAAACAAGUGGGCUGCUCGGGCUCACACUUUGAGGAGAGCCAGCUCACCUUAGCUGUGGAGGAGGAGGUUGCAAUCUGAAUCACUUUGGCCAGGAGGUUCUUGGGAAGUGGAAACUGGGUCAGAGCUCUGAUAGCACUGUCAUCAUCUGUCAUUUCAAAGGAGCCCCCCCUACGGGGACAAACAGUUGAGG
rnacentral:lncRNA from 1 species